rnacentral:rRNA from 1 species
UACGUAGGGUGCAAGCGUUGUCCGGAAUUAUUGGGCGUAAAGAGCUCGUAGGCGGUCUGUCGCGUCGGAUGUGAAAAUCCAGGGCUCAACCCUGGACCUGCAUUCGAUACGGGCAGACUAGAGUUCGGUAGGGGAGACUGGAAUUCCUGGUGUAGCGGUGAAAUGCGCAGAUAUCAGGAGGAACACCGGUGGCGAAGGCGGGUCUCUGGGCCGAAACUGACGCUGAGGAGCGAAAGCGUAGGGAGCGAACAGG